GCAUAUCAAUAAGCGGAGGAAAAGAAACCAACAGGGAUUGCCCUAGUAACGGCGAGUGAACAGGCAAGAGCUCAGAUUUGAAAGGCACUUUUGUGCCGUUGUAUUCUGAAGUUAGGGUCCUGAGAAACGAUGCUUAAGUCUUCUGGAAAGGAGCGCCAUGGAGGGUGAUAGCCCCGUCUAGCAUUGACCUCAUAUAGGAUCUUAACAUGGAGUCGAGUUGUUUGGGAAUGCAGCUCAAAUGGGUGGUAUGCUCCAUCUAAAGCUAAAUAUCUGCGAGAGACCGAUAGUAAACAAGUACUGUGAGGGAAAGAUGAAAAGAACUUUGAAAAGAGAGUGAAAAAGUACGUGAAAUUGUUGAAAUGGAAGGGUAGGCCGCUAACCAUGUAGAGCCGUGUUUGGGGGGAAGAUAAAUGCUGUAGAAUGUAGCUCCUCGGAGUAUUAUAGAUGCAGUUCAUAUUCCCACCCGAGCGCGAGG
rnacentral:rRNA from 1 species